AUGUCAGUUCCACCAGGGUGCUCCUUCUUGCCAGCAGCUGGGGCAUGUGGAAAGUCUUGCAGGAGCCAAAAUGAUCAUUACAUCUGUCAGGCACUGACUCUACACUUAGAGAAAAAACAACACUACACUGUGCGUUACUGGCCUUCUGGUUGUGUGCAAGUGGAACUCCACGUUGGAUCAGAAUUUUUCUUCCUAAGUCCUUUAUUGGAAAUGUAGAGUCAAACUGUGUGGACUAGGAACAAAUCUGUGUCAAGAUACUUCUGAUGGGGUGCUCAGAACCUUAUAUUGUAUCUUUAAAGCCAAACUAAACCCUGUAUUUAAAGCAAGUUAUACUGCUUCAAACUGUUCAGCAAGGGUGUGAGCCUGAUCAGGAGCUCCCAACCAAGGAAUCUCACUGUGCUGGAUGAGCCUGUUUAUUCCCCUUGUCUUAAAAUAUUGGGAAAAUUUGUGACUUUGUAGAAAUUCAUUAUUUUCAAACUGCUUCCACUGAUUUCGGAGGCCAUGUUGGAGAUAAGGGGAAAAGGAGCGGCUCUGGUUAUUCUGAAGAGCCAUUCAGGAUACAGGGGAGGUCUACAAGCACUUAGAGAUCUGCCUGAUUUCAGCUGCCUAUCCCUGUGUGCACGUUUUGUGGAAUUUUAAAAACAAUUUCUUUACAGAAACUCCUUCUGAAGGGAACAUAUGAUAUUCUCUGAAUUGUUUGGAUUGGCUUAGAUUAUAGAGGCUUCUUCUGAGAAAGAAAUCAAAGUAGGCUUCUGGUGAGAUGAACACGUAACAUAUUGAUAAAUGUAGUUACAUAUAUGAACCGGGUAAGAAAUAAUAGCGGAGAUUCUUACAUAUGAUUCUUACAGUUCUUGACAGCUUGAACUCCCACAUGCUUGACUAGUUCAAUACUGGAUUAGUGUGAUGCCUGCUUGGCAGAUCCUGUGGGGCAUAGACUCGGCAAGAAACACAUCAUUCAGGAUUUUGGGGACAGCUUGUAAACUAUCCAGCACCACUGGCAAUCCCACUCCAAUCAAAGUCAAGCUCGAAAGUGGAAUGAGGGGAAAAAGAGAAGCUCUUGUAUUUACGCUCCUAUAAUUUAUGUUCUAAAUUGAGAUUUACCCAUUUCUGUAGAAGAGCACCACUGAAAGAUUGCUUUGUAAAAUAAUAUGAACUGUACUGAGCAAGCUAUAAGAUACUUACAGAAGCAAGAAGGAAAAUCAGAAUGAAUGUGAAAAGACUGCACUGAAAUUGUGAUUAUUUUUACUGGUAAAACAGCAGUUGCUAUUAAUAAAGCCAUGGUGUUCGCUCUUAACA
rnacentral:lncRNA from 1 species